rfam:Oryza barthii chromosome 1, whole genome shotgun sequence.
UUUAAAUGCAAUCACGGGUUUUUUUUACAAUAUUUAACCAUCCAUCUUAUUUGUAAUUCUUUUAUGAUUAGUAUUUUUAUUAUUAUUAUAUAAUAAAACAUGACUAGUACUGUAUGCAUGAUUUUUUUAAAAAAAAUUAUAAUUUUUUUAAAUAAGACGAAUGAUCAAAUGUUAGAUACCGAAAUCCACGCUUAAG